rnacentral:rRNA from 1 species
GUGGAUUAGAUACCCUAGUAGUCCACGCCGUAAACGUUGGGCGCUAGGUGUGGGGGACAUUCCACGUCCUCCGUGCCGCAGCUAACGCAUUAAGCGCCCCGCCUGGGGAGUACGGCCGCAAGGCUAAAACUCAAAGGAAUUGACGGGGGCCCGCACAAGCGGCGGAGCAUGCGGAUUAAUUCGAUGCAACGCGAAGAACCUUACCUGGGUUUGACAUAUAGGGAAAUCUCCCAGAGAUGGGGGGUCCGUAAGGGUCCUAUACAGGUGGUGCACGGCUGUCGCCAACU